rnacentral:lncRNA from 1 species
GCUUGAUACUGUUUUAGGUUAAAGUGUAUUUCUUAUGAAGCCAAUAUUGUGAAAUGUUCUUUUUUCUUCUUCUAGAAUGUGUUUUUUUCCCCCUUGGCAAUGGACUAACUGUAGCCAUAGUAUAUAGAAAGGGAAGCUAUUGCCCAGACGGACACCGCUGAAAGGAACUUAAACAUCUAAAUGGAUUCUGCUUCCAUUUGGGAAAAAUGAUCUAAGGUGGACCCCCCCACUCCUUUUUUUAGACUAAUUAUAUUCACAUAUUUGCAACUUUAAGUCUACUCCAGAGUCUAGAGGUUUUCUAGGUGUUAUUAUAAUGUUCAAAAGGCAGGCUUUAAAAACUGGGGAAAGAGGGCUGGGGUUGUGGCUCAGUGGUAGAGCGCUCGCCUAGCACGUGUGAGACACAUUAAAAAAAAUCAAAUAAAGGUAUCGUGUACACCUACAACGUGUGUGUGUGUGUGUGUGUGUGUGUGUGUAAUAUAUAUAUCCCCCCCCCCCCGGGGAAGUGAGUAUAGGGUAGAUUCAAAGACAGAUGUGAAAAGAUGGCAAAUUUAGGGAACUAUAAAUGGUUUCUUAAGGCCAAAGUACAGUGGCAAUGUGAGGAAGUGGUAAGAGAUGGGAAAGGAUAAGUGUGUAGAGAUUAGACAUCAAGGAACUUUGCAUUCCAUGCUAAGGAGUUUGGAUUUGUUUCUGUAGAUAAGGGGGAAAAUUCUAAUAUUUUUUAAAAAGGGGACAGAUAGAAUCAAUUUUGCCUUUAUUAAUUCAUGUGGUGAUGUGGAGACUUCUUCACCAUUGAAAUCAUUUAAGCAAGAAAUAAUGACCUUGGGC